UCGGUACCGGAAGAAUAAGCACCGGCUAACUACGUGCCAGCAGCCGCGGUAAUACGUAGGGUGCGAGCGUUAAUCGGAAUUACUGGGCGUAAAGCGUGCGCAGGCGGUUUUGUAAGACAGAUGUGAAAUCCCCGGGCUCAACCUGGGAACUGCMUUUGUGACUGCAAGGCUGGAGUACGGCAGAGGGGGAUGGAAUUCCGCGUGUAGCAGUGAAAUGCGUAGAUAUGCGGAGGAACACCGAUGGCGAAGGCAAUCCCCUGGGCCUGUACUGACGCUCAUGCACGAAAGCGUGGGGAGCAAACAGGAUUAGAUACCCUGGUAGUCCAGCCCUAAACA
rnacentral:rRNA from 1 species